CAGGGAAUCUUGCACAAUGGGCGAAAGCCUGAUGCAGCGACGCCGCGUGGGGGAUGAAGGCCUUAGGGUCGUAAACCCCUUUCAGCAGGGACGAAAAUGACGGUACCUGCAGAAGAAGCCCCGGCCAACUACGUGCCAGCAGCCGCGGUAAGACGUAGGGGGCGAGCGUUGUCCGGAUUUAUUGGGCGUAAAGAGCUCGUAGGCGGUUGCGUAAGUCGGAUGUGAAAACUCAGGGCUCAACCCUGAGACGCCGUCCGAUACUGCGCUGACUUGAAUCCAGUAGGGGAGUGUGGAAUUCCUGGUGUAGCGGUGAAAUGCGCAGAUAUCAGGAGGAACACCCAUGGCGAAGGCAGCACUCUGGGCUGGUAUUGACGCUGAGGAGCGAAAGCAUGGGUAGCGAACAGGAUUAGAUACCCCAGUAGUCCCUGAGCGGGCUGGCAAGGCGCAU
rnacentral:rRNA from 1 species